GGGGUUGUGGCUCAGUGGUAGAGCGCUCACCUAGAAUGUGUGAGGCCCCAGGUUCAAUCUUCAGCCCCA
rnacentral:tRNA from 1 species